rnacentral:lncRNA from 1 species
UUUUUUUUUUUUCUGAGACGGAGUCUUGCUCUGUUGCCCAGGCUGGAGUGCAGUGGCCAGAUCUCAGCUCACUGCAAGUUCCGCCUCCCGGGUUUACACCAUUCUCCUGCCUCAGCCUCCCGAGUAAGUGGGACUACAAGCGCCCACCACCUCGCCCGGCUAGUUUUUUUGUAUGUUUUUAGUAGAGACAGGGUUUCACCGUGUUAGCCAGGAUGGUCUCGAUCUCCUGACCUCGUGAUCCGCCCGUCUCAGCCUCCCAAAGUGCUGGGAUUACAGGCGUAAGCCACCGCGCCCGGCGGAGAGAAGAAUUUUUCUACUGGUCACAUGGUUUGUAAGAGACAGUACCAGGAUUUGAUUACAGUCAGCUUAUUGUGGAGCCUCCAUUUGGAAGGGAAUAAAGCAGAUGAUCAAGUUUUGAAAUUACAGAGUUCAGGAUUUCAUGCUACCUAGUCCCUACUUGCAUGUGAUUGUAAACCAAAGAGCUGAAAUUCACUCACAAUUAGCGCAGAACACCUUCACAGGUCUCACUGACCUGCACAGCCUGGAGGUCAGCACUCCUCCCACAGUGGUGUUUGCCUGCUGCACGCUCCUCAUCUGUAAAACGGAGCUGAUGAGGUCAGCCCUCUGCAAGGGCUGUUUGGAGGACGAGAUAACCUGUGUGAAGUGCUUAGAGGCAUGCCUGGCACACAGUAAGUGCUCAAUAAAGGUUUGCUGAUAUCAUAAAUGCCCCAUGCAUAAGUGGUUUACUUCCUAACUCCCCAGCACGAGACAGACCCUGUGUGCCCUCCAUAAAUAAAAGCUAUGGCUGAAAUCAUGGUUUCUAAGCAUCAUUUUUCCCAAUGCCCCAUUGAACAGUUGCACAUCAACCAGAAAAUCCUCCCAGCCUUUGUUUUGCUGUGCUGGGUCCAUAGGAUCCAAGGUCACAUGAUUUCUUCUUUCUUUUCUUUGCCUGUUUCUUUCCUGUAUGGAUCAACAACAACAACAAAAAAGGAUAACAACUGUACCUGGGUGUUGUGUUUUAAUAAUUUUAAUAACGCACAGGAAAUUGGAUGGCUUAGGGACUCUGCGUCAAAAGAGUGAGUCGUCCCUGUCAACAGACCGCGUGGAAGCAUGAGAUUCAAGGGCAGGAAACAGAAGGGCCCAGGGGAUGGAAAUAGAAUAAUGUGAUGGGCUUUAAUAAUCUAAGUUAAAUUAAAACUUGUCAGUGCUUUCUUCAUGCCACAAGUUUCCAGUUAGAGAAAGAACGGGCCCCUCCAAGCAGUGAGUUGAAAAGGAUGAAUUUCAUUCUCUGCAUCCCCAAGACCAACAAGGUGGGCCCUGCCUGUCUCUCCCAUGGUAACUCCAGUCUCCUCUCGUUCCUUGGCCACACUGGUGCUGCUGUUCCCCAAGCACAUCCGCACGGCUGUCCCCACCUCCCAGACUUGAACUUGCUGUUCCUCUGCCGGGACCUUUGCAUGUCUGCCUCAUCCCCCACAUUCAGGGCUUAGCCCUCACAGGAGUCAGAGGGGCUCUCUGCCCCCACUCUGUAUCUAAGAUUCUCUGUCCCCACUCUGCUGUCCCCACCCUCCGCUAGUCCAUGGCCCUGUUGCAUUUUCCUCACAGCCCUCAUCACUAUUCUAUUUUGGAUGUAUUCUCAAUGUGGGCUCCAGAAGGGCAGGGAUCUCAUCUUUCCUGCUUGCCUCUCUCUCCCAGACACCUAGAGCAUACCAGGCACAUAGUAUAGGUACUCCAUACAUCCUUGUUUGGUGAAUGAGCAAAUGGAUGAA